CAACGUGGGGAACCUGCCCCAUAGUCUGGGAUACCACUUGGAAACAGGUGCUAAUACCGGAUAAGAAAGCGGAUCGCAUGAUCAGCUUUUAAAAGGCGGCGUAAGCUGUCGCUAUGGGAUGGCCCCGCGGUGCAUUAGCUAGUUGGUAAGGUAAAGGCUUACCAAGGCGAUGAUGCAUAGCCGAGUUGAGAGACUGAUCGGCCACAUUGGGACUGAGACACGGCCCAAACUCCUACGGGAGGCAGCAGCG
rnacentral:rRNA from 1 species